rnacentral:rRNA from 1 species
AUUGAACGCUGGCGGCAGGCCUAACACAUGCAAGUCGGACGGUAGCACAGAGGAGCUUGCUCCUUGGGUGACGAGUGGCGGACGGGUGAGUAAUGUCUGGGGAUCUGCCCGAUAGAGGGUGAUAACCACUGGAAACGGUGGCUAAUACCGCAUAACGUCGCAAGACCAAAGAGGGGGACCUUCGGGCCUCUCACUAGCGGAUGAACCCGGAUGGGAUUAGCUAGUAGGCGGGGUAAUGGCCCACCUAGGCGACGAUCCCUAGCUGGUCUGAGAGGAGGACGAGCCAAGCUGGAACUGAGACAAGGUACAGACUACUACGGUAGGAAGCAGUGGGGAAUGUUGCACUAUGUGCGCAAGCCUGAUGCAGCCAUGCCGCGUGUAUGAAGAAGGCAUUCGGGUUGUAAAGUACUUUCAGCGGGGAGGAAGGCGGUGAGGUUAAUAACCUCGCCGAUUGACGUUACCCGCAGAAGAAGCACCGGCUAACUCCGUGCCAGCCGCCGCCGUAA